rnacentral:misc_RNA from 1 species
AAAGUCGUAACAAGGUUUCCGUAGGUGAACCUGCGGAAGGAUCAUUACCGAGACUUCGUCUAGGGCUUCGGCCCACGAACCUCCCACCCAUUGUGAACCUUACCAUUGUUGCUUUGGCGGACCAGCAGGUCUGACCUGCCACCGGCUUUUGGCUGGUGAGAGGCCGCCAGAGUCCACCUAAACUCGUUUAAUUAGUGAUGUCUGAGAGAAAAAAUAAAUAGCAAAAAAACUUUCAACAACGGAUCUCUUGGUUCUG